AUUGAGGAGCAUUCUACAAAAUGUCCAGUACUCUUCAAAAGUGUCAAGAUCCCCCAAAACAAGACAAGACUAAACAAGACAAGACUAAAAAACUGUCAUAGAUCAGAGAAGAAUGGAGAGACCUGGUGACUAAAUGCUUUGGGCUAUCCUGGAUUGGAUUCUAGAAUAGCAAAUAAGCAACUUUCAGUAAAUACUUUUGUAAUUGCCCAUGAGUUGUCAAGCACUCAUGAGAUGAAGUUCCAACUCUACAGAUGAAAGCCCUGUUUUUGAAUCAAGCACUUCAUGAGUAAGGAUUUCACAAAGCUGCAAAAUCUGCUCUUGAGAACCCCUGACAACUAAAUAUUCCAUGGCUUCCACUGAUAAUCAUGCUGUCAGCUUGUCAUAUACCAGGAGGUAUCAACAAUCACCAAGCUCUCGUGCAUUAACUACCUGUUUCACCUCCAUUGAGGAUAUGUCUCAGGUCAAUAAUUGGAUCUAUGAAACCUGGCUGUGAUAAAUACCAAGGAAUUCUAUGCCAGUUCACAGCAGUAAGAGUGCAGAAGUGCCAGAGUGGA
rnacentral:lncRNA from 1 species